rnacentral:rRNA from 1 species
GAUGAACGCUGGCGGCGUGCCUAAUACAUGCAAGUCGAGCGAACAGACGAGGAGCUUGCUCCUCUGACGUUAGCGGCGGACGGGUGAGUAACACGUGGAUAACCUACCUAUAAGACUGGGAUAACUUCGGGAAACCGGCGCUUAUACCGUAUAAUAUAUUGCACCGCAUGGUUCAAUAGUGAAAGACGGUUUUGCUGUCACUUAUAGAUGGAUCCGCGCCGCAUUAGCUAGUUGGUAAGGUAACGGCUUACCAAGGCAACGAUGCGUAGCCGACCUGAGAGGGGGGUCGCCGACACUGGAACGGGGACAGCGUCCAUGCGCCUACGGGAGGCAGCAGUAGGGAAUCUGCCGCAAUGGGCGAAAGCCUGACAGAGCAACGCCGCGUGAGUGAUGAAGGUCUUCGGAUCGUAAAACUCUGUUAUUAGUGAAGAACAAAUGUGUAAGUAACUAUGCACGUCGUGACGGUACCUAAUCAGAAAGCCACGGCUAACUACGUG